UACAUGUGGGGCAAGCGUUGUUCGGAAUUACUGGGCAUAAAGGGUGCGUAGGCGGUUUGUUAAGUCACUGGUGAAAGUUUUCGGCCCAACCGGAAAAUUGCCUGUGAUACUGGCGAACUUGAGUGCGUGAGGGGUGGGGGGAACGAGCAGUGUAGCGGUGAAAUGCGUAGAUAUUGCUCGGAAGGCCGGAGCCGAAGGGGCCCCACUGGUACGUAACUGACGCUGAGGCACGAAAGCCAGGGGAGCAAACGGG
rnacentral:rRNA from 1 species